AACGAACGCUGGCGGCAUGCCUAACACAUGCAAGUCGAACGAGACCUUCGGGCCUAGUGGCGCACGGGUGCGUAACGCGUGGGAACCUGCCCUUAGGUUCGGAAUAACUCCCCGAAAGGGGUGCUAAUACCGGAUAAUGUCUUCGGACCAAAGAUUUAUCGCCUUUGGAUGGGCCCGCGUUGGAUUAGCUAGUUGGUAGGGUAAAAGCCUACCAAGGCGACGAUCCAUAGCUGGUCUGAGAGGAUGAUCAGCCACACUGGGACUGAGACACAGCCCAGACUCCUACGGGAGGCAGCAGUGGGGAAUAUUGGACAAUGGGCGAAAGCCUGAUCCAGCAAUGCCGCGUGAGUGAUGAAGGCCUUAGGGUUGUAAAGCUCUUUUACCCGGGAUGAUAAUGACAGUACCGGGAGAAUAAGCUCCGGCUAACUCCGUG
rnacentral:rRNA from 1 species